rnacentral:rRNA from 1 species
UGGGGGAUAUUGCACAAUGGGCGAAAGCCUGAUGCAGCGACGCCGCGUGGGGGAUGAAGGCUUUCGGGUUGUAAACCUCUUUCGCUGUCGAACAAGGCCCGCUUAGGGUGGGUUGAGGGUAGGUGGAGAAGAAGCGCCGGCUAACUACGUGCCAGCAGCCGCGGUAAUACGUAGGGCGCGAGCGUUGUCCGGAAUUAUUGGGCGUAAAGGGCUUGUAGGCGGCUUGUUGCGCCUGCUGUGAAAACGCGGGGCUUAACUUCGCGCGUGCAGUGGGUACGGGCAGGCUUGAGUGUGGUAGGGGUGACUGGAAUUCCAGGUGUAGCGGUGGAAUGCGCAGAUAUCUGGAGGAACACCGAUGGCGAAGGCAGGUCACUGGGCCAUUACUGACGCUGAGGAGCGAAAGCAUGGGUAGCGAACAGG